CCGGCGCACGGGUGAGUAACACGUAUGCAAUCCACCUGUAACAGGGGAGUAACCCGGAGAAAUCCGGACUAAUACCCAUAAUAUGGGCGCUCCGCAUGGAGAGUUCAUUAAAGAGAGCAAUUUUGGUUACAGACGAGCAUGCGCUCCAUUAGCCAGUUGGCGGGGUAACGGCCCACCAAGGCGACGAUGGAUAGGGGUUCUGAGAGGAAGGUCCCCCACAUUGGAACUGAGACACGGUCCAA
rnacentral:rRNA from 1 species